rnacentral:rRNA from 1 species
GGGAAAGUUUCCGCAAUGGGCGAAAGCCUGACGGAGCAAUACCGCGUGAGGGAUGACGGCCUGUGGGUUGUAAACCUCUUUUCUCAAGGAAGAAGUUCUGACGGUACUUGAGGAAUAAGCAUCGGCUAACUCUGUGCCAGCAGCCGCGGUAAUG